rnacentral:rRNA from 1 species
UACGUAGGGUCCGAGCGUUGUCCGGAAUUACUGGGCGUAAAGCGCGCGCAGGCGGCCCGCGAGGUGUCACGUGAAAGCCCCGGGCUCCAACCCGGGAGGGUCGUGGCAAACCGGCGGCUUGAGGCCGGUAGAGGUGGGUGGGAACUCCUGGUGGAGUGGUGAAAUGCGUAGAGAUCAGGAAGAACACCCGUGGCGAAGGCGGCCCACUGG